GAAUCUUCUUCUCCUAUCUCGAUCUAUGCCCGAGCCCAACCGAUCCCCUGUCUUCUCCACCGGCCUCCCCGUGCCCUCAACCUUCCGGGGGCGCGCUCAACUUUGCCUGGCCGAGAAGUUUGAGUUCCGCCAAGCCCCAGCCCCUCGCCUCUCCUCGCCACCGCCGGAAACUGCCAUGGUGGUUGCGCCCCGCCCCCCUCCCCAUCCAUAGCAAAGGAGGCAGGGGAAGGUCUGGUUUGCGCCACCUAUGGAGAGGCGGUGGUGCGAGGCAUGGAGCACAACGAAGAAGUCGAGGAUCCUAUGCGCGAUGGACGGAACCGGAAUCGGGGUUCCGGCCUGCAGCGGGCGGUCCUUGCCGGUGCUGCGUGGACUGCAUCCUACCGGCGCGUACUUGCAUCAUCACGCCGCUCAGAUCGGGCGGCGGCAGCUUUUGGGAUCAGCUCCGGCGGACGCUAGCUGCUCUUCGUCUGGCCGCUAGGAGGUGCAAGGAGGUUGGGGCGGAGGCCCCGGAGUUGAUCUAUUUGUUUGUGAUGGUAAGGGGACCUGCACAUUGAUCUACUUGUGGACCCGUGUGGCGGCAUGGUCGGUUAGGUGGUCGUCUUCGUGGUGGUGGACGGAUCUCCUCCCUGCCAAAUCUCUCUGUCGAACUAUUCUGAGCUCUCCCCUAACCGAGCUCUCCGUGGUUGCCGGCCGCCGGCCUAGCUCCGGCGCCGUCGCCGGUUGGUCGUCUCCGCGUGCUCGGCCUGCCUAUCGUGCGUGCUGCCCCAGCCGACGCCCUGCGCGGGUAGGUGGAGAUGAGCCGUAGUUGUGGGUUGUUCCACCGGUCAUCAAGCCCAGCACCGUCGUGCAGCCGACCGCCGGCUUGGUUUGUGUUCUUUCAUUGACGAGAUCCAAGGAAGGCCGCUGGUUUGGAGUGAAGGACUGAAGGCUGAUGCGCCAUGUCCGUCCGGCCGAGUACCUCCUCCUUGCAGAUGCAGCUGGAGGGCACGCCCAGAGCAUGUACCACCCCAGCUGCACCCAAUCGUGUGUCUCAUCAUUGGAGCAGCAGUUAAGCUGGUCCAAUCUCGUGAAAGCAACUAGCAGAAAAUUAAUAUGUGAAGACAUCAUGAAAUGAAGGAAGAGCCAGCCUAGGGAAAUUGCAAUGUUCAUAUAUCAUUUCCAUUUAUACAAGUAACAUCACAGAAGAGUAAUCAUACACUUUUUUGCAGGGCGGCAAAGAUGAAUGCUUUGUAUGUGUCAUUCAUAUGUAAUUAGUAGGUUUCUUUCGGAAUAUUAGUGGUUCUCCAUAUCCUUGCUUGCGUUAUACCUGUUUUAGCAUCUCAGCUAAAUGUUCAAUGGGCAAACAUAUGCUUCAAAUUCCUUUUUAUUUGACAGCUUGGUUUUACACUGAGGUAAAAAAACUCAAAAUAUAGAUUUGACCAUAUAAUAUCUAGAAAUAAAUAGGUAUUCCAGUUUUUGUCCAAGGUGCAGCGUUGUUCGUAGCACCAUUAAUGUGUUGAUUCUCUCAUGGUAUUUUAGUUAAUAUAAAUGAAUGCCAUGUUUUGUCUUUUCUUUUGAGAAAUCCUCUUACUUUCAAUUCCCCUGAGACACUGAUGCAAUAUAUUAUUUCGUGACAGCAUGGCUAUGUGCCAUAGAUUCCUUGAAAUAGAACACACUAAGAACUAUAUUUGUGUCCUUUGGUUCCGAUUAGUUUUAUCUUUGCUCUACAAGUAGUUCCUCUCAGAAGUUGUCUGGUUCUUUUUUGGUACAGACCUUUACAUUUCAGCCCAAUUACUUAUAAAUUUACCAUGAGUUGGUCGCACUAGAAGUACACAUCAGCCAGCACCAGCCAUUACUUGCUUCACGAAAACAAUUGCACAUAUUUCAGUAUAUCUUUUCAUUGUUAUUUUAUCACUGGAACUUAACAUUGCAGCCUGACUUCUGGAAUUUUGCUUAGAAUAAACCUUGAAACGGAAAAAAGUGAUACUAAUUCAACUAUGCGAAAGGAUACUACUUUUUUUUAUAGUUAUAAUGUUUCAUUAGAUGUGUUAAUGUAAGCAUCCCUUUGAAUAUACGGUAUGUGAUUCUUAAGUUUAUUUUUAAUUAGUACGGCGGACUUUGCAAUGCAUUGUUUGAUUGUUGAUAGUUUUUAGUGUCCACUGAACACAAAUGAAGCAUGAACCAUUCCUUACAUAUAUAUACCUCCUGCUGUGGCAUUGCUACCAAACUCUGAUCACUUGUCUACUGUAGUUGAUGCAGUUUAUGAUUUAUUUUCAGAAAAUUAUUUGGAAUCUUCCUAUUUAGCACAAGGUGCUAUGGUUUGACCUAAUAAUAAUGCACCAGACGCAAUGAAUGACUAUGGUUUUUUCUAGGGUCCUUGGGUUGCAAGGGAAUUUGAUAGUUGUGACACUAUCUUGUGGUGGCGUAGGUUUAUUGUACCCUCUGAAAUUCAUGUACUGCUGAACUUGGUAAUUUCCCACACCAGAAGAUCUCUUUGAAGGUUGGUGUCCCUAUAAUGUUAUUGAAUAAAACAAUCAGUGUACAGGGUUGUGCAACGGAACCUCUCUCAUAUUUACAGGGUUAAGGUUAGACACUGGACACGGUAGGUGUUUAUUUAUCCAAACCUGUAUUUUCCCAUGAAGAGUCUUGAGAGUCACAGUGGAGAAAAAGAUUGUAAAUACUUGCACUAGACGACAGUGGUGUUGCAACUACUGAAACUACAAUUAUCUUAGACCGGGGGUACUGGAGCAUCUGUAAGAGUAUGCACCUCAGAUCAUAUCAUGGUUGCGUGCGAAAAAAUGCCCGCAACAACCUCCGGGGACCGAUCUCUGUGGAUUCUUCGUUUGCGAGUACAUCCGCAGAAUUGUCAACGAGAGAACGAAUAAUGAAAGAAAUAAAGAGUUGGCAAGAAAGCGGAACAAGCUCUCAAUCGAUGACCGCUUCAUAGCAAUAGGCGAGGAAUUGGCGGGAUUUUUCCUUCGGGACGUCAUACCACAACUCGCAGAGCACCACUAUGAAUGAAGAUGUACAUGUUACAUAUAUAGUUGACUCGAAGAGUACCACUAUGCUACAUGUAAUAGACAUAUAUAGAGUACGCCUCGGAGAGCACCACUAUGCAUGAAGAUCGAUCUUCAUGCAUAGUGCUACUUAAUUUGCGAUCUCAUGCAAUAACAUGUGUGUUAUAUUAUAUGCACCAACUUGCUAUGCAUCAUCUUGAUCUUCAUGUACUACCUAA